UGAUUAUCUUAGUCUCAAGGAUGUCCUCGUUUUCUCUGAGUGAGGUAUCCUAGAGAGCCGGCUGAGUGUGGCUGGCCAAUACUCGGCCUCUGUGGUUGUCAUUCAUUCAUUCAUUACUCAUGGAGGUGGGUGGAUGAUGACAAAACCUGUACUAUGUGCAAGUUAUUUUAAGGGCUUCCAAAAAAGUUAGAACAAUGAUUUUGCAACUGAGGAAGCCACAGUCCAUGAGGAUGAGUGUUACAAAGACAGUAAGAAGCAAGCGGCACCAGAGAGAGAUGCUGAUGUUGGGCUGCGGCUGUCGAGAGGAGUGAGGCCCUGAAGGCUGCCAUCAGGGGAAGCUUCUGGUCUGCUGGAAAGGCUUCCUGAACAUCUCCAAGUCCAGGUGCGUUCCAGAAUGCUAAGAACCAAAGGAGAAGGGCAUGCUUCUGUCCGUGGCUUUUUACUUUUUAAAACUGAAGGAUCUCACAUUUCUCCUCCUGUUCAGGAAGUGAGAGCAGAAUGAGACAGAAAAGAUGAAUGCAGCGAGAAAGAAUGAACCUUGUGGUCCUUCUGUUUCACGCUCUUGCACGAUCUUCCCAUGUCUUGGUGACCAAGCUCUUCUAGCCUGAAUCAGCAUGGAGAACAAGCAGAGGAUGGAUUUCUGCAAGAUGUGAGGACUGCAAUAUUCCCGUUUGCGCAUGAACCAUAGCUGCUGUCCCUAGAUCCCCUGACCUCUGGAGAAGGCUGCUACCAUUGCACUGACCCAACCUCACCAAGGCAUCAAAGGACAAAAGAAGGAACCAAAACGUGGGUGUCAUUACUGCAAGUCCCAUCGAGGUGCCAGGCAGUGACAAAACCAGAGAAUGUCUCAGGCAGAGAGACACAGAAAACCACAGGUCUGAAUGGCAACCACAUCAACAACCUGACCAUGAGACUGUCCUGCUGAAACCUCUCCUGGCUCCCAUUGUCCAGGGAUGAAGGCAUUAUCCUGACCUGCCAGCAGCUGCCUAAGUGGUAUCCAUGCUGAACCUAACAAUUCCUGAGAAGCCAUGAAGUUUCGCUUGAUGAUGCAUAAGAGUAGACAAAGGAGAAGGUGCCCAGAAUUCAUACGUAAUAACCAUGGCCUAUUCCAAAGCUUUCAGUGCUUCCCCCCUAGGCCCUGAUUGGCAUCUCCUUCCAUUCUAAAAAAUAACACACCUACAAAGAUGUACUUGACAUUGACACAGGGAACCCAGAGAUACCGAUUACUACAUGUUCAAUGGUCAGUUGGAGUCUGCAUUUUAUUAGACAAAAUAAUCUAUAUAAGACUCGUUUUUGUGUCUACCUUAAAGGGUAAUGAGGCCUUCCAGUUUCAGCUCCAACAAGAAAAGAGCUUGGAAGUCAACG